CGUGCCACCUUCAGCCUGUGUCAACGCCACCUGCUCUCCGCCCUACAAAUGCCUGGACACUUGGAAGCAGUUCAAGUGCGACUGCGGCGAGGGCUUCCAGCUUAGUCCCGACGGCUCCUCCUGUCUGGAUGUGGACGAGUGUCGCUACGAGCCUUGCCUCAACUUCGCCUCGUGCUCAAACUCGGUGCCAGGCUACCACUGCUCCUGCACUAGCGGCUACGCAGGCCACAACUGUGAGCAGCAGGCCGGACCCUUGGCCUUCCCCCUCGGCGGC
rnacentral:lncRNA from 1 species